AUUAAAUCAAUGAUGUGAUUUGUUUAACUGCGAUACUAAACUGCAUAUCAGGCCAGAAGAUAUAGUUAUAUAUUAAAUGUCGGUAGAUUUAAU